rnacentral:rRNA from 1 species
GAUGAACGCUGGCGGCGUGCUUAACACAUGCAAGUCGAACGAUGAAAGCGGGAGCUUGCUCCUGCUGGAUUAGUGGCGAACGGGUGAGUAACACGUGAGCAAUCUGCCCCGAACUCUGGGAUAAGCGUUGGAAACGACGUCUAAUACCGGAUACGACGCGCGAAGGCAUCUUCUGCGCGUGGAACGAACUUCGGUUCGGGAUGAGCUCGCGGCCUAUCAGCUAGUUGGUGAGGUAACGGCCCACCAAGGCGACGACGGGUAGCCGGCCUGAGAGGGUGACCGGCCACACUGGGACGGGGGCGCGGCGCGGGCUCCUACGGGGGGCGGCAGUGGGGAGUGUUGCGCAAUGGGCGCAAGCCUGAUGCAGCAGCGCCGCGUGAGGGACGACGGCCUUCGGGUUGUAAACCUCUUUUAGUAGGGAAGAAGCGAAAGUGACGGUACCUGCAGAAAAAGCACCGGCUAACUACGUGCCAGCCGCCGCGGUAACAC